rnacentral:rRNA from 1 species
GAUCAUGGCUCAGGACGAACGCUGGCGGCGUGCUUAACACAUGCAAGUCGAACGAGAAUCACUGGAAGGAGUUUUCGGACAACGGAAGGUGAGGACAGUGGCGGACGGGUGAGUAACGCGUGAGGAACCUGCCUUUCAGAGGGGGGACAACAGUUGGAAACGACUGCUAAUACCGCAUGACACAUAGAGAUCGCAUGGUUUUUAUGUCAAAGAUUUAUCGCUGAAAGAUGGCCUCGCG